GACGAACGCUGGCGGCGUGCUUAACACAUGCAAGUCGAACGGAAAGGCCCUGCUUUUGUGGGGUGCUCGAGUGGCGAACGGGUGAGUAACACGUGAGUAACCUGCCCUUGACUUUGGGAUAACUUCAGGAAACUGGGGUUAAUACCGGAUAGGAGCUCCUGCUGCAUGGUGGGGGUUGGAAAGUUUCGGCGGUUGGGGAUGGACUGGCGGCUUAUCAGCUUGUUGGUGGGUUAGUGGCUUACCAAGUCUUUGACGGGUAGCCGGCCUGAGAGGGUGACCGGCCACAUUGGGACUGAGAUACGGCCCGGACUCCUACGGGGGGCAGCAGUGGGGAAUAUUGCACAAUGGGCGGAGGCCUGAUGCAGCAACGCCGCGUGCGGGAUGACGGCCUUCGGGUUGUAAACCGCUUUCGCCUGUGACGAAGCGUGAGUGACGGUAAUGGGUAAAGAAGCACCGGCUAACUACGUG
rnacentral:rRNA from 1 species